rnacentral:rRNA from 1 species
GACGAACGCUGGCGGCGUGCUUAACACAUGCAAGUCGAACGGAAAGGCCCUGCUUUUGUGGGGUGCUCGAGUGGCGAACGGGUGAGUAACACGUGAGUAACCUGCCCUUGACUUUGGGAUAACUUCAGGAAACUGGGGCUAAUACCGGAUAGGAGCUCCUGCUGCAUGGUGGGGGUUGGAAAGUUUCGGCGGCUGGGGAUGGACUCGCGGCUUAUCAGCUUGUUGGUGGGGUAGUGGCUUACCAAGGCUUUGACGGGUAGCCGGCCUGAGAGGGUGACCGGCCACAUUGGGACUGAGAUACGGCCCAGACUCCUACGGGAGGCAGCAGUGGAGAAUAUUGCACAAUGGGCGGAAGCCUGGUGCAGCAACUCCGCGUGCGGGAUGACGGCCUUCGGGUUGUAAACCGCUUUCGCCUGUGACGAAGCGUGAGUGACGGUAAUGGGUAAAGAAGCACCGGCUAACUACGUG